rnacentral:rRNA from 1 species
UGCAAGUCGAGGGGCAGCAUCAUCAAAGCUUGCUUUGAUGGAUGGCGACCGGCGCACGGGUGAGUAACACGUAUCCAACCUGCCGACAACACUGGGAUAGCCUUUCGAAAGAAAGAUUAAUACCGGAUGGCAUAAUUAUUCCGCAUGGGAUAAUUAUUAAAGAAUUUCGGUUGUCGAUGGGGAUGCGUCCCAUUAGGCAGUUGGCGGGGUAACGGCCCACCAAACCUACGAUGGAUAGGGGUUCUGAGAGGAAGGUCCCCCACAUUGGAACUGAGACACGGUCCAAACUCCUACGGGAGGCAGCAGUGAGGAAUAUUGGUCAAUGGACGAGAGUCUGAACCAGCCAAGUAGCGUGAAGGAUGACUGCCCUAUGGGUUGUAAACUUCUUUUAUACGGGAAUAAAGUUAGCCACGUGUGGCUUUUUGUAUGUACCGUAUGAAUAAGGAUCGGCUAACUCCGUGCCAGCAGCCGCGGUAAUACGGAGGAUCCGAGCGUUAUCCGGAUUUAUUGGGUUUAAAGGGAGCGUAGGCGGGUUGUUAAGUCAGUUGUGAAAGUUUGCGGCUCAACCGUAAAAUUGCAGUUGAUACUGGCGACCUUGAGUGCAACAGAGGUAGGCGGAAUUCGUGGUGUAGCGGUGAAAUGCUUAGAUAUCACGAGGAACUCCGAUUGCGAAGGCAGCUUACUGGAUUGUAACUGACGCUGAUGCUCGAAAGUGUGGGUAUCAAACAGGAUUAGAUACCCUGGUAGUCC